GCCGUGAUAGCUCAGCUGGGAGAGCGAUAGACUGAAGAUCUACAGGUCGUUGGUUCAAGUCCGACUCAUGGCA